CUUUUACUACGAGCCCGGGUGAUCACCACACCUUGGACAAACAAUCAAAAUAGACCUGACCAGCCCUUGAAAUUCAGAUUUUUUCACCGCGACAAAAAACUGCCGUCGUGAAUCCGUCAUUUUCUGUUUCACGACGGCAAAUUUUUGAAAGCAGUUGAUUUUUUUUUAAUUUUUUUUUUAUUUUAAAAAUUUUCCCCAUGUACAAUAAAUUUAUGUGUAGUAUAUUUACAAUAAUUGUAGAGUGCGGGCUAGAGACCUACUAGAAAUCUUAGUAGACUUUUUAUUUAGGUCUCUAGUUAU
rnacentral:lncRNA from 1 species